UAGGGAAUCUUCCGCAAUGGGCGAAAGCCUGACGGAGCAACGCCGCGUGAGUGAUGAAGGUCUUCGGAUCGUAAAACUCUGUUAUUAGGGAAGAACAAAUGUGUAAGUAACUAUGCACGUCUUGACGGUACCUAAUCAGAAAGCCACGGCUAACUACGUGCCAGCAGCCGCGGUAAUACGUAGGUGGCAAGCGUUAUCCGGAAUUAUUUGGCGUAAAGCGCGCGUAGGCGGUUUUUUAAGUCUGAUGUGAAAGCCCACGGCUCAACCGUGGGGGGUCAUUGGAAACUGGAAAACUUGAGUGCAGAAGAGGAAAGUGGAAUUCCAUGUGUAGCGGUGAAAUGCGCAGAGAUAUGGAGGAACACCAGUGGCGAAGGCGACGUUCUGGUCUGUAACUGACGCUGAUGUGCGAAAGCGUGGGGAUCAAACAGG
rnacentral:rRNA from 1 species